rnacentral:rRNA from 1 species
GUGAUAACCUGCCCUUGGGUCCGGCAUAACCCCGGGAAACUGGGGAUAAUUCCGGAUAACGCGCAUAUGCUGGAAUGCUUUACGCGUAAAAUGGAUUCGUCUGCCCAAGGAUGGGUCUGCGGCCUAUCAGGUAGUAGUGGGUGUAAUGUACCUACUAGCCUACGACGGGUACGGGUUGUGAGAGCAAGAGCCCGGAGAUGGAUUCUGAGACAUGAAUCCAGGCCCUACGGGGCGCAGCAGGCGCGAAAACUUUACAAUGCGGGAAACCGUGAUAAGGGGACACCGAGUGCCAGCAUCAUAUGCUGGCUGUCCAGGUGUGUAAAAUACACCUGUUAGCAAGGGCCGGGCAAGACCGGUGCCAGCCGCCGCGGUAACACCGGCGGCCCGAGUGGUGAUCGUGAUUAUUGGGUCUAAAGGGUCCGUAGCCGGUUUGGUCAGUCCUCCGGGAAAUCUGACAGCUCAACUGUUAGGCUUUCGGAGGAUACUGCCAGACUUGGAACCGGGAGAGGUAAGAGGUACUACAGGGGUAGGAGUGAAAUCUUGUAAUCCCUGUGGGACCACCUGUGGCGAAGGCGUCUUACCAGAACGGGUUCGACGGUGAGGGACGAAAGCUGGGGGCACGAACCGGAUUAGAUACCCGGGUAGUCCCAGCCGUAAACGAUGCUCGCUAGGUGUCAGGCAUGGCGCGACCGUGUCUGGUGCCGCAGGGAAGCCGUGAAGCGAGCCACCUGGGAAGUACGGCCGCAAGGCUGAAACUUAAAGAU